GGGGGUGUAGUUUAGCGGUAAAAUUAUGGUCUCCAAAACCAUCGUCGGGGGUUCGAUCCCCUCCGCCCCUGCCA
rnacentral:tRNA from 1 species